GCUAGGUUAUUGUGAGAGUGUAAACACUUGGGUUGGGGAUUAUAAGCUUGAUCAUCAUAAGCUUAUCAAACACUUUGGGAAGUGAGGUUCGUUAGUAUCUCGGUUGUGGUUAGAUUAGUCUUUCAAGUCUUUGAGGAAAUCUAAGCUCUUGAGCACAUAAGUUUUGGAGUGUUCCAAAAAGUCCCAACUCAGUCCACAUAUCCCGGUAACUUUGGAAAAUAAGCUUUAGAGGCGGUAAGAUUCGUGACGUUUAGAGGAUGUGUAUCGAUGAUGGAUGGAGUCAAGGAGCCGAGCGUUAUUCGAUUCGAGGAUGUAGUCUUGUUUAUGUUUUUAUGGUUUUAAAUGUAUUUUCCACAUUUUCUAUGUAACUCUUUUUACUUUAAGUUAUUUUUGUUUUAAAGACAAUGGGUACCCAUAUCCUAUUUAUUUUAUGAAAGUAACCUUUGUUUCUACAA